GUGUGUGUGUGUGUGUGUAUGAAGGGGAAGGGACUGGAGGAGUGAUGUUGCCCUGUGUCUGGGGAAGCAGCUCAGAGCUUCAUGCAGCUAGCAAGCACCUGAGGAGUUGAGGCCCAGAAGGGGCAGGGAAGGGACAGUGUGAGUGUGGCCAGGAGGUCACAGCAUAAGGGACCAGGCUACAAGAGGCUGGCCCAAGGGGAAACUCCUGCAUUCAGCCAUUUAAAGUUUCAAAACUCUUCCGGUGCUGGGGUAUUUCUAUGCCCUUGUCCUGGCCGCUAGAACCCUGGCCAUUUGCUGCUGGCCCCCCCGCAGAGGUGGGAAGUAUCUACCGGUAGGAAGGAGAGGUGGAGUGAGACAGGAUCCAUGGACGCCAGAGCCUCUUGAUCCGUACGCUGCUGUGCCUGAGACUGUCUCCGAGUCACCGGCUAGCUCUUCACAGAACUGAGCAGUUGCAGCAGCUACUGCAGGAACCAGGAAGGAAGGAGACGUCGGAGCCUCCCCUCCAGCCGGAUCUCCCCACCUGCCCCUCCUCCGUUGCCUCCUCCCGCCAAGCUCCGGGCUGCCGCUCAGCUCUGCCCCCCUGCUCUCGGGAGGACUAAGGACGGAGUGGUACCAAAUGACUUGGAAAUGAGGGGCACAAUCCCCACUGGGCAUAGUUCCACAUGCUUCAGAGGACUGAACAACUGCUGGCUUCAAGCCAUCGAAGGUAAAGGAUUUUAUUCAGACUAACAUGGCCUUGACCCCAGUGAACACUCAAGGCCAUUUCCUUAUUCACCCUGCCUCUCAAUUACACCUGAAAUAGAUGGCAUAUUUUGGACCAGCAAAGAUAUCAGGUUGACUGGGAAGGGACAGAGACACCGUCCCACCCCACCCCCACAUACUCUGGGACAUGACAAUCUGUGCCAGGAGCACAGUCAGCAGGCAAGAGGGACAGCUGAAGCCCCACCGAGGCUCCUCAUUGAGAGCAAUGCCCUACCAGGUCAGUCCGUGGCAAUCAGGAAGUAUGGGUGCAGCAAGUCUCUAGGAGCAGAGAUGCAGAGAGGUGGGAGCAGCUAUGCAGUCAUGGGCUGGCAGUUAUAAAACAAAGACUAGCUGGGGCCCCUCCCCUGACCCUCAAACACCUUUACCCCACUGUGUUCAGUUGCUGAAAUAAUCAAGAAUUACAUUAUGAGAAAGACCUACAAUUCCCAAAUGGAUGAGCACGGACUAACAGGUUUGGUGCCUGAGAAAUGGUAGCACCAGCAGGCUCUGGUAUGAUGGAAGGCUCUUGUGUGGCUGCAGAGAUGAUGUGGGCCAAUCGUCUGCUCCACCUUUCUAGACAUCAAAGUCUUACACACCACAGCAGUACCUGCUGUCUGGGCUCCCUUCAAAACCUCAGCAUGGAUUUAGCCUCCCAAGAGGGAGGGGUGCAGUGGGCAGCACCAGGCAGGCCUCUGGAGGCAAAGUGGCACCAGGAGGAGCUACUCUGACAUCCAGAGCCUCAAGGGCCUUUUAAAUGAUUGAGUAUCCCUGGGCAUCUGCAGAGGUGGGGACUGUGGGAAGCUGGUCCUGGCCCAGGCCAGAGGAUAGCUGCUGCAGAUCUUCCAACUGUCCAGGACUAAAGACGCUGCGGCACUGCUCCAAGUCUGGGAAGGAAUGCUAAGGAGUCACUCCACAUUCACCCUGAUCCACUCAGGAUCAAGAACAGUGGCAGGCCACAGGCGGGAGGUGCCACUUCCCAAGACUCAGGGAGGGCCUCCUGCCAUAGCCCCCAGGGCUCCUAUUACAUGAGAACUCUAGUUCCCCCAGCCUUCGUAAGGAAAAGCACGUGAGAUGUAGUAUUUGGAAGGACAGGCAACUAGGGAAGAUGGCUUUUAAGGAAGAAAAGUGAGAAUUUGGAGAGGACUUGAAAUAACCCAGACAAUAACUUUGUAAGAUCAGGAGUUCAGGGCUGGAGACUUGGCUGUAAGCACUUGCUCUUCCGAGGACUCAGGUUCAAUCUCCUACUCACAUGGUGGUUCACCACCACCAGGAACUCUAGCUCCAGAUCAAUGCUCUCUUCUGACCUCUGUGUGCACAGGCUCAUACAAAGGGUACAGAUAUAAACAUAGGCAGGCUUUUAAAAAUAUUAUUUAUUUUAUUUAUGAGUACACUGUAGCUGUCUUCAGACACACCAGAAGAGGUCACCAGUUCAUUACAGAUGCUUGGGAGUCACCAUGUGGUUGCUGGGAAUUGAACUCAGGACCUCUGGAAGAGCAGUCAGUGCUGUUAACUGCUGAGCCAUCUCUACAGCCCCCCCAGCACACCCGAAGGGUGGAACGCCAACGUCAGCCCACCAGGACCCACUCGUGUUCUACUUUGAGAAUUUGAGGCUUCAGAGAACCGAAUUCAAGACCUUAUCCAGAACUCAGGCUUCUCUGCUGUUUCCUGAAUGGGAAGUCAGCUGGACAGGCUGGUGCUGAAGCAGGUAGCGGGUCUGGGCCAUGAGGUGAGUAAGCCCUCCUACCAGCUGCCCCUGUAGCUGAUCCAGGCUGGGCAGCUUGGCAUAGUCUACGAGUCCCUGCCUGCUGAGGAUGGUGUCAUCAACGCAGCCACCUGCAAGAACAUAGGGUCAGCAGGCUCCCUGCAAACGCCAAACCCAAGAAUCUGCCUUCUUGCCCACCUUGGUCUUAAAUUCAGGGUCACACGUGUGCCUCAGCCCACUGUUGGGGAUGCAUCACCUCUUUCUUUCCUUGAAAACAUAAAUAAACAUCCGCCAGAGUC
rnacentral:lncRNA from 1 species